AAUAGGAGGAUGACAAAUUAGAUUUUUCCUCUUGGUUUUCAAUUUUUUUCCUCCUAAUUCUCAGCCUUUUCCUCUUGAAAAUUUCAAAUACAACUGAAAAAGUUAACAAUUAGGAGGAAAAAUCUGAUUUGUCAUCCUCCUAUU
rfam:Gossypium raimondii Chr04_contig_955, whole genome shotgun sequence.